rnacentral:rRNA from 1 species
GACGAACGCUGGCGGCGUGCUUAACACAUGCAAGUCGAACGGAAAGGCCCUGCUUUUGUGGGGUGCUCGAGUGGCGAACGGGUGAGUAACACGUGAGUAACCUGCCCUUGACUUUGGGAUAACUUCAGGAAACUGGGGCUAAUACCGGCUAGGAGCUCCUGCUGCAUGGUGGGGGUUGGAAAGUUUCGGUGGUUGGGGAUGGACUCGCGGCUUAUCAGCUUGUUGGUGGGGUAGUGGCUUACCAAGGCUUUGACGGGUAGCCGGCCUGAGAGGGUGACCGGCCACAUUGGGACUGAGAUACGGCCCAGACUCCUACGGGAGGCAGCAGUGGGGAAUAUUGCACAAUGGGCGGAAGCCUGAUGCAGCAACGCCGCGUGCGGGAUGACGGCCUUCGGGUUGUAAACCGCUUUCGCCUGUGACGAAGCGUGAGUGACGGUAAUGGGUAAAGAAGCACCGGCUAACUACGUG